rnacentral:hammerhead_ribozyme from 1 species
AUCCAAAUAACGAGUCCCAAACAGAAUGAAACGCGCGUUCUAGAU